GGGGAGGCAACCUAGUGACAGAUGAUGUGGAAAAAAACUGAAGUACUCAGUGCGUUUUUUUCCCUCGGUCUUCACAGACAUGAGCAGUACAGCAUGGGGAGGAGGUGA